UCGCUUUGGCAGCAAGUAUACUCAAAUUGGAAUGAUACAGAGAAGAUUAGCAUGGCCCCUGCGCAAGGAUGAAAAAGUUCUUUAUACUUGCAUUAUCAAGUGUGU